rnacentral:rRNA from 1 species
AAGCUCGUAGUUGAAUUUCGGGGUUCUACCGUCGGUCGGGCUACCAAGUCUGUACUGGUGUGUAGAAUUUCUACCUUCUGGGGAACCAUCAUGUUAUUAAUUUAGCGUGGUGGGAAACCAGGACCUUUACCUUGAAAAAAUUAGAGUGUUCAAAGCAGGCUUAUGCCUGAAUACAUUAGCAUGGAAUAAUAGAAUAGGACGGUGGUCCUGUUUUGUUGGUUUCUGAAUCACCGUAAUGAUUAAUAGGGAUAGUUGGG